rnacentral:rRNA from 1 species
AUUGAACGCUGGCGGCAGGCCUAACACAUGCAAGUCGAGCGAGCGGCGGACGGGUGAGUAAUGUCUGGGAAACUGCCUGAUGGAGGGGGAUAACUACUGGAAACGGUAGCUAAUACCGCAUACCAUCAGAUUUGCCCAGAUGGGAUUAGCUAGAGGGUGGGGUAACGGCUCACCUAGGCGACGAUCCCUAGCUGGUCUGAGAGGAUGACCGGCCACACUGGAACUGAGACACGGUCCAGACUCCUACGGGAGGCAGCAGUGGGGAAUAUUGCACAAUGGGCGAAAGCCUGAUGCAGCCAUGCCGCGUGUGUGAAGAAGGCCUUCGGGUUGUAAAGCACUUUCAGCGGGGAGGCGUUACCCGAAGAAGAAGCACCGGCUAACUCCGUGCCAGCAGCCGCGGUAAUUC